rnacentral:rRNA from 1 species
GAGGUCCACCCUGCCCAGGGCACAAAGUUUAACGGCCGCGGUAUCCUAACCGUGCGAAGGUAGGAUAAUCACUUGUUCUUUAAAUAUGGACUAGUAUCAACGGCAUCACGAGGGCCAUACUGUCUCCUCUCUUCAAUCAGUGAAACUGAUCUCCCCGUGAAGAAGCGGGGAUUAGAAUAUAAGACGAGAAGACCCCAUGGAGCUUUAAGCAAUACUUUCACCUUUUAUUACCACAUCAACCUAAUAAGAAGGACUGAAUUUUAGCUUUAGGUUGGGGGGACCGCGGAGUAAAAAUUAACCUCCACGACAAACGGGCAACGCCCUUAUCCACGAAUUACAACUCUAAGAAUUAGAAUACUGAUGUUUAUUGACCCAUUUUAUGAUCAACGAACCAAGUUACCCUGGGGAUAACAGCGCAAUCUACUUCAAGAGCUCCUAUCGACAAGUWGGUUUACGACCUCGAUGUUGGAUCAGGGCAUCCCAGUGGUGCAGCCSCUAAUAAAGGUUCGUU